AACGUAGGUCACGAGCGUUGUCCGGAUUUAUUGGGCGUAAAGGGAACGCAGGCGGUUUUUUAAGUCUGAUGUGAAAGCCUUCGGCUUAACCGGAGAUGUGCAUUGGAAACUGGAAGACUUGAGUGCAGAAGAGGAGAGUGGAACUCCAUGUGUAGCGGUGAAAUGCGUAGAUAUAUGGAAGAACACCAGUGGCGAAAGCGGCUCUCUGGUCUGUAACUGACGCUGAGGUUCGAAAGCAUGGGUAGCGAACAGG
rnacentral:rRNA from 1 species